AUUGAACGCUGGCGGCAUGCUUUACACAUGCAAGUCGAACGGUAACAGGGUGCUUGCACCGCUGACGAGUGGCGAACGGGUGGGUAAUGCGUCGGAACGUGCCGAGUAGUGGGGGAUAACGCAGCGAAAGUUGUGCUAAUACCGCAUACGUACUGAGGUAGAAAGUGGGGGACCUUCGGGCCUCACGCUAUUCGAGCGGCCGACGUCUGAUUAGCUAGUAGGUGAGGUAAAGGCUCACCUAGGCGACGAGCAGUAGCGGGUCGGAGAGGAUGAUCCGCCACACUGGGACUGAGACACGGCCCAGACUCCUACGGGAGGCAGCAGUGGGGAAUUUUGGACAAUGGGCGAAAGCAUGAUCCAGCCAUGCCGCGUGUCUGAAGAAGGCCUUCGGGUUGUAAAGGACUUUUGUCAGGGAGGAAAUCCCUAGUGCUAAUAACACUGGGGGAUGACAGUACCUGAAGAAUAAGCACCGGCUAACUACGUGCCAGCCGCCGCCGUAA
rnacentral:rRNA from 1 species